UACGAAGGGAGCUAGCGUUGUUCGGAAUCACUGGGCGUAAAGCGCACGUAGGCGGAUGUGUCAGUCAGGGGUGAAAUCCCGGAGCUCAACUUCGGAACUGCCUUUGAUACAGCACAUCUGGAGUCCGGAAGAGGUGGGUGGAAUUCCUAGUGUAGAGGUGAAAUUCGUAGAUAUUCGGAAGAACACCAGUGGCGAAGGCGGCUCACUGGUCCGGUACUGACGCUGAGGUGCGAAAGCGUGGGGAGCAAACAGG
rnacentral:rRNA from 1 species